rnacentral:rRNA from 1 species
GAUGAACGCUGGCGGCGUGCCUAACACAUGCAAGUCGAACGGAGUCCAGCCUUUAAGACCUUCGGGUCAAAGAGGGGAAGACUGAGUGGCGGACGGGUGAGUAACACGUGGGCAACCUGGCUCAUAGAGGGGGAUAACAGAGAGAAAUUUCUGCUAAUACCGCAUAAGCACACACUGCCGCAUGGCAGAGGGUGAAAAGAGAAUCGCUAUGAGAUGGACCCGCGUCUGAUUAGCCAGUUGGCAGGGUAAGAGCCUACCAAAGCGACGAUCAGUAGCCGAUCUGAGAGGAUGAACGGCCACAUUGGGACUGAGACACGGCCCAAACUCCUACGGGAGGCAGCAGUGGGGGAUAUUGCACAAUGGGGGGAACCCUGAUGCAGCGACGCCGCGUGAGUUAAGAAGUAUUUCGGUAUGUAAAGCUCUAUCAGCAGGGAAGAUAAUGACAGUACCUGAAUAAGAAGCCCCGGCUAACUACGUG